UAUGAAUUUAAUUGUGAGAUC
rnacentral:piRNA from 1 species